GCAGGAGCGGUAAUACCNNNGGCCCCGAGCAUUAUNNGGAUUUACUGGGCGUAANNGGUGUGUAGGUGGCAUAGUUAGUCUCUCGUUAAAUCUCAGGGCUUAACCCNGGAAUCGCGAGGGAAACGGCUACGCUCGAGGAUAGGAGAGGUAGAGGGAACUCAAGGUGUAGGGGUGAAAUCCGUUGAUAUCUUGGGGAACACCAAAAGCGAAGGCACUCUACUGGCCUAUUCCUGACACUGAAACACGAAAGCGUGGGUAGCGAACGGGAUUAGAUACCCCGGUAGUCCACGCCCUAAACGUUGCCCGCUAGCUAUAGGGAGUAUCGACCCUCUCUGUGGCGAAGCUAACGCGUUAAGCGGGCCGCCUGGGAAGUACGAUCGCAAGAUUAAAACUCAAAGGAAUAGACGGGGGCUCGCACAAGCGGUGGAUCAUGAGGCUUAAUUCGUCGCUAAGCGAGGAACCUUACCAAGGCUAGAAACCAUACUGCACGCUCUAUGAAAGUAGAGAAGCCUUCGAGGGUGUAUGGCAGGUGAUGCAUGGCCGUCGUCAGUUCGUGGCUUGAGUUGUUCCCUUAAGUGGGGAAACGAACGCAACCCUCGUUGCCUGUUAUAUUUGUCAGGCGAGACUGCUCCCUCACGGGAGAGGAAGGUGGGGAUGACGCCAGGUCCGCAUGUCCCUUGAUGCCUUGGGCUGCACUCGUGAUACAAUGGAUACUACAACGGGACGCAAUACCGCGAGGUGGAGCAAAUCCUUAUAAAAGUAUCCCCAGUUCGGAUUGGAGGCUGCAAUUCGCCUCCAUGAAGUCGGAAUCGCUAGUAAUCCCGGAUCAGCAACGCCGGGGUGAAUACGUUCCCGAGCCUUGUACUCACCGCCCGUCAAGUCAAGGGAGUCGGGAGUGCCCGAAAUCCUACCUCGUGUAGGCUUACGGUAAGCUCGAUGACAGGGACU
rnacentral:rRNA from 1 species